rnacentral:rRNA from 1 species
AGGCAAAUCCGCUUGCCGAAAAGGCUGAUCUGUGAUGGCGAGGGAAAUCAAGUACCGAAGUUCCUGAUUCCACACUGCCAAGAAAAGCCUCUAGCGAGGAAACAGGCGCCCGUACCGCAAACCGACACAGGUAGGCGAGGAGAGAAUCCUAAGGUGAUCGAGAGAACUCUCGUUAAGGAACUCGGCAAAAUGACCCCGUAACUUCGGGAGAAGGGGUGCUCCUGCGGG